GCCGGCGUAGCUCAGUGGGAGAGCGAGGGUCUCAUAAUCCCUAGGCCGUGGGUUCGAUUCCCCCCGCCGGCACCA
rnacentral:tRNA from 1 species